rnacentral:rRNA from 1 species
UACGGGGGGGAGCAAGCGUUGUUCGGAUUUACUGGGCGUAAAGGGCGCGUAGGCGGCCAGCACAAGUCAGUUGUGAAAUCUCCGAGCUUAACUCGGAAAGGUCAACUGAUACUGUGCGGCUAGAGUGCGGAAGGGGGCAACUGGAAUUCUUGGUGUAGCGGUGAAAUGCGUAGAGAUGUGGAGGAACACCGAUGGCGAAGGCAGCCCCCCUGGGCUAACACUGACGCUCAGGCACGAAAGCGUGGGGAGCAAACAGG